AAAUGGGAUGUUUGCUUUGGUUCUCUCGUUUGGCCUUCUGCUGACAGCAUUAAAAAGCAGAAAAGCAAGGUCUUGGCGCUAUGGUUCUGGGUCUCUUCGAGGCUGCAUAGCAGAUUAUGGUGUGCCAUUGAUGGUGCUGGUUUGGACUGCUGUUUCCUAUAUUCCGUCAGGAAGUAUUCCAAAAGGAAUCCCAAGGCGUCUUUUCAGUCCAAAUCCAUGGUCAACAGGGGCAUAUGAGAACUGGACUGUCAUGAAGGAUAUGCUAAAUGUGCCAGUUAUUUAUAUAAUUGGAGCUUUUGUUCCAGCUACAAUGAUUGCAGUGCUCUAUUAUUUUGACCACAGUGUAGCAUCUCAGCUUGCUCAGCAGAAGGAAUUCAAUUUGAGAAAACCGCCUUCUUUCCAUUAUGAUUUACUGCUUUUAGGAUUCAUGGUCUUUUUAUGUGGUCUUAUUGGAAUCCCUCCAUCAAAUGGUGUCAUUCCUCAAUCUCCCAUGCACACUAAGAGUUUGGCUACACUAAAGCACCAAUUGCUUCGUAAUCGACUUGUGGCAACAGCUCGCAAAUGUAUGAGUAAGAAGUCAACCUUGGGACAAGUGUAUGAAAGCAUGCAAGAAGCCUACCAACAGAUGCAGACCCCCUUGAUUUAUCAGGAACCCUCUGCCCAGGGAUUAAAAGAAUUGAAAGAUUCAACUAUUCAGAUGGCCUCAAUUGGGAAUAUUGAUGCUCCGGUUGAUGAGACAGUAUUUGAUGUUGAGAAGGAGAUUGAUGAUUUAUUGCCUGUUGAGGUGAAAGAACAACGGGUUAGUAACUUGCUUCAAGCUAUAAUGGUAGGAGGAUGUGUUGCGGCCAUGCCUUUCAUAAAAAAGAUCCCAACAUCAGUUCUCUGGGGUUAUUUUGCUUUCAUGGCCAUUGAGAGCUUACCGGGUAACCAGUUUUGGGAGAGAAUCUUAUUGCUUUUCACAGCUCCAAGCAGAAGAUACAAAGUUCUUGAGGAAUACCAUGCCACUUUUGUGGAAACUGUGCCUUUCAAGACGAUUGCAAUUUUCACUAUCUUUCAGACUGCUUACUUGCUUGUCUGUUUUGGCAUUACAUGGAUUCCAAUUGCUGGGGUUCUUUUCCCUUUAAUGAUCAUGCUUUUGGUUCCUGUGAGACAAUACAUUUUGCCCAAGUUUUUCAAAGGAGCCCACCUCCAGGAUCUGGAUGCUGCAGAGUACGAAGAGGCUCCAGCCUUACCAUUCAAUCUAGCAACUGAGGCAGAGAUGAGUAGGUCAGCCUCAUUUGCAGAUGAUGGGGAAAUUCUAGAUGGGAUGAUCACUCGAAGCAGAGGUGAGAUAAAAAGCAUUCGCAGCCCCAGGGUUGCAAGCUCCACUUCAACUCCAUCCAAAGAAUUCAAGACCAUUCACAGCCCACGGUUUUCAGAUAAGGUAUAUAGCCCUCGUGUUAGUGAACUGAGAGGAGAGCUAAGUCCUCGUCAAGGUGGAAGAGGACCAUUUAGUCCAAGAGCAGGAGAAGCAAGACCUUCCAAUUUGGGAAAAACUGGUUAGAAAUGGUAUAUCAUUACCGAAUAUUGAUGGCCACUUGUUCAUUAACCAGGAAAAAGAAUCACAAGUCAUGGAUAGUUUAAUGUAGGAAGUGUAUUAUGGGAAUUCACAUUAGGUCUUUUGUUAUUUUUUUGUUGUUAGUGAGGUUAGUAGUUGUAAAAUGUUUACCUAACAGGAAGAAAUUUGUAAUCAGAAAAGCCAGCAAGCAAAGAAAUUAAAUUGCAUGUUAUUGAUUUCCACCAUCAAUUGACAAGAAUAUACAUUUUGCACCAGUGUACUACCAAUGAGGCAGAGGCAUGGGUAGCCAUCACUGCGCAGACUAAGUGCUGCUUCUUAACAUCAAAGAUUACUUCUUAAGGAGAAAUCAUUUUCACUAUUCUCCAUGUUAAGACACAAAGCAAAAGGCAAGAAAAUCUGAAGCUAUAGUAGUGCCAUUUGAAGGAAUAUUGAUUUGCCUUAGAGAAAUAGGUAUACUGCCAUGAAAACUGAUGAAACUAAUCCCUACUCAACAUGUCAGUGUCAAAGAAACCGAU
rnacentral:misc_RNA from 1 species